ACUUCAGUCCUCCUCUGCUACUCCCUCCAGCGUCUCUGGCAAGUCAUCUUUCCUUUGUGCCUUUGUUCUCCACCUGCAGAAUGGGAUAAACAAGCUUCCUAAUUGCACCAGGACGCUGUGAGAACAGACAGGAUCAGGAACAGUGAGGCCAAGCCUCUGUCACUCACAUCCAAGACAAGAAGGAUGGAUGGCACGGGAACAAGUUUGCGGGACAAGACUGUUAUACACAGGAACAAUAAUGCUGGCAGAUAACCCAUCACACAGAUGAAAAAUGAGACAUCUUUAGCAAACGUGUCUAGAUAAUGUUGUAAGAUGGUUUUGAGGGCAAGACAUUGUGUUUUGUGCUUAAUCAUGCCUUCAGAAAUGCCUCAGAUGCUAUUAUAGACAAAAAGCAAUAAAGCAAGGCACAGAAGAGGUCUGGAAAUCUUC